rnacentral:rRNA from 1 species
UGGGGAAUAUUGCACAAUGGGGGAAACCCUGAUGCAGCGACGCCGCGUGAAGGAAGAAGUAUUUCGGUAUGUAAACUUCUAUCAGCAGGGAAGAAGAUGACGGUACCUGAGUAAGAAGCACCGGCUAAAUACGUGCCAGCAGCCGCGGUAAUACGUAUGGUGCAAGCGUUAUCCGGAUUUACUGGGUGUAAAGGGAGCGUAGACGGAUAGGCAAGUCUGGAGUGAAAACCCAGGGCUCAACCCUGGGACUGCUUUGGAAACUGCAGAUCUGGAGUGCCGGAGAGGUAAGCGGAAUUCCGAGUGUAGCGGUGAAAUGCGUAGAUAUUAGGAGGAACACCAGUGGCGAAGGCGGCUUACUGGACGGUGACGGACGUUGAGGCUCGAAAGCGUGGGGAGCAAACAGG